AAGCGUCUCUCCCCACCUAGUGGUCAUUGGGAGAUUUUUAAUAGAGCGAUGGCCUAAAGCAGGGGAUUACCAGCACCGCGAGGGAUGCAUCUUGCUUUUUUUCCAUGCCAGUACUGGGAAGAGAUUAUUGAUCUUUCUUUUUGUGUCCAGCCGAGGUGAAAGCAGACAGGAGGAAUUCUGCAGGAUCCCUUUGUUCCUAAUAGACUCAUUAAAACAUGAAGAGUGUAAGAAGCUGAACUGAUGCUAGGAAAAGGUUGUAAGAAAUGAUGGAGUGGUGGAUGCUCAUGUUUCUUUACUCCAUAAUCUACCUGUUGUGGGUUUUGCAGUGAGUGAGAACAAAUUUUAUAUGUGACUGGGACAGAAAUGUCUUCAUUGCUCGAAUGUUUGGCCUAGUGGUGGGUAAUCCCUUCUGCAAAGUGUGCAGAGUUGAGCGAGGGGAGAAGAAUAUAGAAUUAAAAUGCAUAUGUCUGUUAAGCAAAGCUGGUACUUUUCUAAAUUUGAAUAAAGAAGCAAAGAGAUUAAACUGUGAAAGCAAAUAGAAUUGUGCGAAUUAUUCCCAUGCUGGUGCUCAAAGGUGUUAUUGGUAACAUUGACAGAGCAUGCAUGGAGCAAAACAGCUUCACAUGAGACAUUCCACUACUUUCUGCUUGACUAUUCGUACAGAGCUCACAUGGCUGUUACAUGGGGAAUGGUCUUUCUGGGGAAGGCAGUGCUUCAUUUACUACUCCCUUUCUAGAGCAAGGCCACACCUCGAGGGCUGUGUUCAGUUUUGAGCCCCUCGCUACGAGAAAGGCAUUGAGUUCUCUGGAGCAUUUCCAGAGAAGGGCAACAAAGCUGGUGCGGGUCUGGAGCACAAUGGAAAUUGUUCAAGAACCAUGGAGACGUGGCAGUGAGGGAUGUGGUCAGUGGGCAUAGUGUGGGUGGACUGGAGGUUGGAUGGGGUGACCUUAGAAGUCUUUUCCAGCCUCAAUGAUUCUAUGAGACAUAUGAACAGAGCAGCCAAGUGUGCCUGCAGCCCCAGCAGUGCCUCAGGCUGCUGAUGUAUGGCUCAGCCUCAGGGCUAGAGCUCAUCAUAUUUUCCAUUUAAGCAUUAUUAUUUUAUAACUUUGAAAUGAGGAUAAUGAUAUUUAUCUUUCCGUGAACAAUGCUUGGAAAAUCAAAGACAAAAUAUAACAAUUAAAGACUUUACUUGCAUCAGAAGUGCUGGCUGAGGCUUGUUAUCUGCAGGAAUUCUGGGUUGCCCUUCCCUCUUUUAGACUGUAUCCUGCUGUUCUGCAUGCAGACAGGAACAGGGGACCCAUGUCAUGCUGUUGCUGUUUCCUCCAGUAAAGGAAUUUAAUGGAAGACUCUUAUAGGAAAUCCCUGUAGCUUAUGGCUGUUGUUUUGUUUUGUUUGUUUUUUCCCCUUGAAAAAGAGCCUUGAAUGCCAGUAGAGGUUGGUGGCCUUGCCUGUGGUAGGGGGUUGGAGCUUCAUGAUCCUUGAGGUCCCUUCCAACCCAAGCCAUUCUAUGAUUCUAUGAUUCUGUGACUGACAUGAGCCAAAAGGAGCUACUUUGCCUGGGGCAGGAUGGCUCAGGAGAGACCAGCAAUUCAGGCAGAGAUUUGUGCAGGGGGCUCCGCUAUCCUGCAUCCUGUGAUAUCAGCCAGCUCCACCAAACACCCCAGGUACCUGCUCCCUUGCAGAUGAGCAUUCCCCUCCUGUACACCCAAUUCAGGGAAUAAGGGAUGACUCAUGUCCUCUGAGAUUCCUUAUAUUUCUCCAGAUAAACCAACCAAGCAAGAAGCUGAUCUAAUAAAUCCUUUUAACUGUGAUUUGAACUGCUCUGGGUUUCAUGCUGGAGAGCAGAUGGAUGUUUCCCCUGGUAGAAAAUGGGUUCCCAUUGCUGUGAGUUUUUCCAGUGGACAUCUGCAUCUAUCUGACAGAGUUUAUUUUUAAUAAAACCCUAAACUAGAAAGGGAAUCUGAAAUCCAUGUGGCACCAUGGGAAGGGAUCAAAUUGUCGUAUAGAUCAAGUGAAGAGGAGAAAGAAGUAUGGCAUUGGAUCCCUAUGUGCAACUGUCUUUCUGCAAGGUACAGUGGGAUGAUUCUGGUGUGCAAGAAGUACAAGUUAAAUUUCUUCCUUCUUUCAAACCUAAUUAUUAUUUUCUCUACUCUAUAGAGACCUUUCAUACUCUAUCUUACACUGGUACAAUAAAACAGAUGGAGAGAGAUGUGUAUCUUCCCUCCAUCUCCUUAUCAAUACCUUUGCACAAUAAAUAACAGGAAAACAGAGCUUGCUUGUCAGUGUUACAAGCUGUCCUUGCUUUCUCUAAACAUACAGUCAUACACAUUUCAGUUUGUUUUGUUGCUGACUUCUUUGAAAUAAAUAAUAUGGGAUGGAGCUGUGAACACACUGUCUCACUUAAGAUCUUAAAUCACAGAUUCAUAGAAUGGCUUAGGUUGGUGAAGACCUUCAAGAUCAUCUAGUUCCAACCACCCUGCCAUGGGCAGGGUUGCCAACCACCAGAUCAAGCUGCCUAGGGUCUCAUGGAACACAGCCUUGGGCAUCUCCUGGGAUGGGGCAUUCACAACCUCUCUGGGCAGCCUGUUUCAGCACUUCAACUUAAAUAAAGAUUGCUAAAUAAGGUCUUAGUAACAGUCAAAUACAGCCUUCUUGCUUGAGGUCAUCUGCUUGCUCCUGGAGUUUUACUUUCUGUCAUUAACAUGAGUAAUGAAAACAGCGAGCACAACUGAGCACAAUGGACCCUUCAGGAUCCCCAAAGCAAUAUGCUGUCAGUUUGAGGACAAACUGUUGGGAUGUGCUUUUGUGGGCAGGUACCCAUGGAAACCAGGUUUUCCCAGCUUGUCAUGACUGAAGUCAAGAUAUCCAACUUUCACCCCUCCUCCUUUCUCAGUGAUAUUGCCAGAGAGGGAAAUGAGUUUGGAUUUGGUACAGUGUGUUCCUGAUGCAUGCAUUCUGGCUUUUUUAAAUCUCUUUACUUUCCUCCUGCUGUUUAUAAAAGGAUUGUUUAAUAAUUUGCUCUAGUCUCUUUCCAGACUGACAGUUUCAUGGUUCCCCAGAUUCCCAUUUUCCACCUUAAAACUGGUGAGGUACUCUCUUUACCCUUCUGGUAUGCAGCACAAGUGAUUUCACAUCAAGAAGAAGCAAGAUGAUAUUGCAUUAUGACAACAAUUCUGAGUCACUGUGAGGACUAGUCAAGAAAACAACAGUGAUGGGAAAUGAGUGUAUCAAAUAGUUUGGGAGUUUUGCUUCUGGUAUUUUGGUGUUCUGAUAUUUAGUGCACAACUCUUCACCUCCACCUUUCCACCUCCUGAAUUUAACUUUUCCAGCAUGCUUGUGAUUGCCUGAAUAUAUGUAUAGCAUGCAGCUUCACUCGUAUCCACAUUAAUCCCCCAUGUUCAAAACUAGGAAAGAAGCCCAUAGUUUAAUAAAAGAUGAAUCAUCUUCCCAAGCAGCUUAUUGGGAAGAAAUUUCUAUUUUUUCUCUGACAUUGUGUUAUUGACUUGUUUUGGGGGAUUAGAUACUGGGACACACCACUUCUAUAAACUUGUUCAAUAAGCUAUAUAAGGCACAAAUAUUCCGCAAGAAAACUUUACUUUUCUUGCUGCUGAUAACUAUAUCCUUCUUUUAUUAUUCAGAGCAUGAGACAACAAAGCAAGAGGAAAGUCCAGAAGAUACCUGGAUCAUUAAUAAUUGUAUUAAUAAUACGGUAAAUAAUUAUAUAAUGAUAUAAUUUUCCCUUUUUCUGUCUUUGUGUUUAUGGGACACAAUGUUUAAAUCCAAGUGCAUCGAUGUUUACAGUGAUUGUUUCUCACAGCUUAGAACAUUAAAGUUCCAGGAGAUUCCGUCAUUCCCAAGGUAGUUAAUUUCAGAUCUAACAUCCUGAUAUGUAACAUCGCAUGAAAUAUUCACUUAUUUAAAGCUGAGCAGGCAUUGUGAUGGCAUUGCAGUUGUUGUUGACUUGCAGAAGAAUGUUCCUCUUCUUACAGUGCAGAACUGUGGCUCACACCUCACCCCUUGCUAUGACAUCUAGGUCCUUUGCAUGGGCACACAGGACAAAUCAGCAUGUUGAAGAAACAAAGGGAUGACUGAGUUGCUGGAAGUGAGAACACAGAUAAUUGCUUGUGGGAUCAACACUUUAAUUAGACAUUGUCUCCUCCUUUCCUUCAUACCAUGAGAUUUUGGUCACUUUCUCUGGCAGUAAUUAUCUUCCUUUACACACUGCAUUUCUGCAGUGCUUUUCCAUGGUACAGAACAAAGCAUUUAAAAACAAGAAUUAUUUUUUUCUCCUCAGUACUAAAGCAGCUUCAUCAUAUUCCCAAGUCAAAUAUCUCAAUUAUUUAAAGCAGAUCUCUUCUUCAUUCCUUCAGUAUUCGUCAGCAGAAAUUAAGUUGGCAGAGAAAUGUCAUGACCACAUAGUCCACUUUCCAUACUUCCAUUCCUGAGAGCUCUCAGUCAAGUGUCUGCUAUUGAAGAGUGACUGCAGCCAAGAGUAGAAAGUGCUGGAGAUGCUAAAAGAGAGUUUGGUGGGACAGAAGGCAGCUUGGUGGCUGAGGUGGCGGAGUAAGAUUUGACUGUUGGGUCACUAGAAAGACAAGUCCUCCAGAAUAACCAAUCUGCAUUCUGGUGUGUCAAACAUAAAUGGAUGGAGAGCAGCUGGAAAAUGAAAACACACAUUGGAUCGUGGAGAGGUGACUGAAGGGUAAGCCCAGAAAAAAAUUCAUCCACUGCUUUGUGUAUACAUUAAAGCUGCAAUCUAGUCCUUGGCCACAGAUGGAAAUCCAUCAGGCUGCUCCCAGGGCUCCUUUCUGGGGCUAAAAAUGCUCGAGUUUGUUUGGUAUCUCUUGAAGACUAAGAGGCAGUGCCAGAUAGGAUAAAAAUUAAAAUAGGAUACAUUCAAAUGCUGACAGGGUGGUGUCUGAGACAGAAUGUGUUUGAAAAGAGGAAAUGAGAAAUACAUCUAAAAAAAAUAAUGGAUAUUGGCUGAAGGCUCGAGGGAGAAGACUAUACUGACCCAGUACUGGGUGCUGUUUCACUGGCUUCUUUUGUGUUCACUGAGAUGAAUUUGGCUCAAAUUACAUAAAUGACAAAAACAGAUCAGAAGAUAAUUAUCUAUGUUAUUUGGACAGAGCCUUGCUUCUGGUGGUUGCUGUUCACAGCUAAGGCUCAGGAGUGGUUUCAUAAUACAACUACCAAAAACUAAUAAUGCAGGUGAAUUGUUUUGCACCUAGUGUAGAGGAAUAUUGUAAAACCUCCAACAAUGUAGCUGGUAAAUCUAUGUUCAUUUUAAAGUUCCAGAUGGUUUUAACAUUAACUCUGAUUUUCUGAACAAAACUGCCUCUAAUACAACAUCCUCAGAAUAUCUGAGUUUGAAUUGUGGUUGUCUUGUCACUUGUGAUGACCAGGGCAGGCAGUUUCCUCUACUGUUUCAAAAAGUGUGAUAUACAGUUUUGUACUGUGCACCAGGAGCAGCAAAAUGAGAGCCCAAAUUAAGUCAGGAAGAGGCAGUUCUGGGUGCUGUGUGAGGAUGGGGCCCAGAUUUUGUUAACUGCUUUGCACUGAAGGAAACUAUCACCUUAGCAGUGAAACUGCUGCUUUGCAUGUUAUUUGGCAAGUCUCCCGACAGUUCCUACAAAUGAUCUAAACUCUUGACACUGUCUGUCCAAUGAUGAUUAUGCACUGGGAUUUUCUGCUCUCAGCCCCUGUUUUCUACGUGCACUUAAUAUUCUUGGCUGAUGCCUGGGGUCUUGGUAGGAUUGAAGGUGAACUUCCUUUCAGCUUACUGAGUUUGGAAAGAUAGUUCCCAUGGGAAGGGGGGCGGUGAGCAGAAAAGAUGAGACUGCAGAGCAGCAUGCCCUCGUUUUCCUUCUUCAAGGCUUUCUCGGGUGUUCAGUGGGAUAGGGAAAGCUCUCAUGUAGCCUUUCAAGAACACAGUAUUUUUCAUCAUUCAAGCACUUCUCCAGCACCUAGAACUGUGGGUGUGUAUUACACACAUCCAGGAAAGGGCUUUCAACAGAUUUCCUGAUUCUCUUGUUCAUGGACCCCAAACACCUUUCCCACAAAAGAAGGGUUUAGUGGAAACUUUCCUUUGCAAAAUUCCUGAAUGCCUUUUUGCCUUUCUGACAUCAGUUUACAGGAAAGCACUGCAUGACCCUUUGUAAUAUUAGGAAGUAUUGUUGACUAAUGUGAAUGACUUGUGUGUUACUUUAAUUUCUAACCUCAGCUGAAAAAUGGCACAAAUGAUUGCAUGGAGACCAAUAAAUUGCUAUGGUGGGGCAGAACAGCAUGAAGAGGUCACAGAGCUUUCAAAACCUGAGUUGUAAUGGCCAAAAAUUAAAACCUCAGGUGGAAAAACAAGAGAAAUUUCCCAACGGUGCAUUGUACCACGCUUUUGAAAAAUGCAUGUGAGGAGAGUCAAAAUCCCAUUAAGGAGGGUUGUUGGAACAUGGCUGAAGGAACUUCACCGAGCAGCACCCACCCUGUACAUAGGUCCAUGGCUCAUGGCCAUUGCAAGUGCGUCUGAUUUUGUUCUUGAACAGUGACUGCUGAACAUCUUAAUCAUUACUUAAUUCAGGUUAUUGUUAAAUGAUUUCUUCUCUGUCUUUUCUCUGGGGAAAUGUUAAAUUAUUCUUUUUUUUUUUUCCUCUCUUUUUUUUUUUUUGCCCAUCUGUCUAUGGUGUUUUUCUCUUCCUGGAAGAAAUCCAAGUUCUGUAAUUAAGGCACUGGGAACAGUAAGAGGUUUGAUCAGUGGAUAAAACAUAAUUAUACUAGAUCUGUGACUCUCACUGCAGUAAAUAUUUUAACACCUUGGGCCAAAUCCUCCAUUAACACAAGCGGAGUUACUGGAGAUCAAACUGUCUUACGCCAACUGGGAAUUUGUGUAAAACUGCACAGACUACUCCAGGCUGGUGUGUGGGAAAACAUUGAAAAAAAAACACCUAGUAAUUACCUUAGUAAGAUGAUGAAGUUGCAACACUCUGAGCCCAAGAGACUGUUCAGAUGAAAUAUGCUGGAUUUUUUUUUUUUCCUUUUUGUUUGGCUUGGUCACUCUUUUUGCUUGGUUGGUUUGUUUUGGUUGGGCUUUUUUGUUUUUUUUGUUUUAUAUCCUGUGACAUACAUUCGUGAUUUUUUUCCUCUUGACUCUUUUUGAAGAUCCUGAAAUAGAAUUAUGUCUGUAUGGGUAAUGUUUUCAAAACGAAUCUCUUUUACUGCAGUGUUGAUUACACUCUGUUUUCAAGUUCAGUUGUGUGUAUUAAUUAGGCAGUCGCUGUAACUUAUACCUUAAUUGUUGGGCUCAGGUGAGGUUAUGUGGUAGAAAGAUUUUAGACACAAAAAUUGCAGAGAUUGUUUUGGAGAAUAGCACCAAAUUAACUGAAUAAUUCCUAAAUCCCACUGUUUCUGGAUAUCUUAUUAAUCUCCUGAUGAAGUCCAGAUCCUAUUUCCAUGCCAUAGCUAGUAGCAAUCACAAUUUCUGGCCUUCCUGACCCAUGGAAAUGCUGUAAUGGGAUAUCAGCCAUGUCCCCAAAGGUUCUCUCUGGCUGUGGGCCUUGGGGCAGCUUGACUUUAAGUAUUACUCAUUGGACCUUCAGAGUACCAGAUGUUGUCCUGCUGACUCCUCACCCCUCUGGGUGGGUUGAAGGCUAUAGAGGGACAUGCAGGAAAACUGUGUGCCACAGACAUAGGAAAAGAAGAAAUUCUGGGUGGAACAACCCCAGGCAAGGCUAUGGAAAAUUACCAAGAAGACUACAGAUGAACCAUAACACAGCCUGAGAAUCUGUCCCUCCCCAGGCUGUGUUGACAGUCCUUUUAGCUAGUCAAGGCUUACUUCCUAAAGAAUUUCAAGAUGUUACUGCUGAACAAAUAAAGAACUUGGUGAGAAGAUGAACCUCGUGGCUGUGCCAGACCUCUCCCUGCUGCUGUUGCCAGGUAAAGGGGCCUAAAUGUUUCCACAACUGGAAUCUUUGCUGCAAUAAGCGAGCUGAACGAUCAGCUUUCUGCCUUGUCACAGGUGGAUUAUGAGGCUCAGGAUCAUGCUUAAAGGUAGUGAUAAGAUCUUAUAGAAAAAUGAGUGUUUAACUCAUUGGGGAAGCAACUUCUUCCCAUCGUACAUCAAGCAGUUAUUUGCAGAAAUGACCUGCUGGAUAUUUUUGGGAGUGUUCACCGUUUGACUGCAUUUCCCUCUGCGGGAAUUGUUCAGAAACCAGAAGGAAACGAAAGCAAGACCAAAAAAAAAAAAAAAAGGAAAAGAGAGUGAAUUUAAGGCCAUGGAAGUCCUAUGGCAAUUCCUUCUUGCUGAAAUUUCUUCUCAGAAAGAGCGGUGAGGCAUUUGAAGAGGCUGGUCAGGGUGGUAGUGGAGUGAACAUCCCUGGGGAUGUUCAAGAAAUGUGGAGAUGUGGCACUGAGGGACAUGAUUAGAGGGCACAGUGGGGAUGGGCUGGGGUUGGACUGGGUGAUCUCAGUGGUCUUUUGCAACCUUAAUCAUUCUAUGAAAUUCUGUGCAAGGGUUCUGCAGCAAAGGCAGCAGUAGUCAGUUGGCAACAGUUUUUAGCACAAAAGAAGACACAAAUCUCUCAACGUGUCUUGCUUCAAAAGCAGGACAAACAACCUAGUGUCUUCCAAGCAAUGACACUGUGACUAACACUAGAGAGCUUAAAGAAAGCAUUGAAUAUAAAUAUAACGUGAUUACAAUAUGAAGAAAAAUAACCUCAUUAAAACAGUAUGUUCCCAGCUGGAUUCUUUAUGAAACAGAGGUUCCAGAGAGCUAAGGGUAAAAAAUGAGUCUAUAAUCCUUCAUGUAUUAAGAUAUAAUGACUAUAAUACAAUGAAUAUAAUAUAAUACAAUGUGUAAGGUCUUACUUUUGUUCUCCAAAAACAGGGCCCAGGGCUCAGCUGGCCCUUCUGGUGGCUUCUAUCCUGAUGUGGAGUUGACGUGAAAACCCUUACCUCAGUUUAUGUCUGCACUGUGUGUAUGAUCAAAGAGUGAACCACAGUGAUCUUUAAAGUCAUCAGAAGGCCGCAUAUGUAUAAAAGAAUUAUUUCAUUAUGAUUCAGAAAUACCAAAAGCAUCGUUUCCCUUCAAGGUUUGCCAGUUCAUUUGAAAGAAGACGUAAAGGAUGCAUCUGUGCAAAGGUUUGGAGUUACGCAGCUGCAAAAGAGGGAAACCAGUUGUUUAUCCUUUCAGAAGUCUUGCAUUUGUGAAAGUAAACAGUGUGCAGAUUGAAAAAGAUGUAUCCCAUACCAUACAAUGGUGGCUGUCUACAUCUAGCUGUGAACACUCACACAGGAAAGCAGUUGGCUCUGGCCAUGAGCUUUUGGAAGCAAUAAUGAGAAAAGCUCACGACAGCACCAACAUAUCUAUAAAAAACAGUGAUGUUCCUAUAGAAAUAUGCUGUAGUUAACUGUAGUUAAGUACUGGCCAAGAGAAAAUACUCCCCAUACAGAUUUCUUGAUCUUGUUUUCAGGCAGGGGAAAACAAUUAGGAGAUAUUCUCAGGCAUGAAUUAUCUUUCUUUGGACCAAGUGGCUUUUGUGAGCUAGGAAAUCUAUUGCCCAACUAUGGCAAGAGGUUUUUUUUUUAAAAAAUAUUAUUUUUUUGCCAUUAAGCUCAGGGACUACUAUAGGAACUUGCCAGUAGGGGGUAUAGAAAAGAGAACUGUUAUUUCCAUGUUAUUAUUUGUAUAUAUAUCAGUUAGCUCUUUGCCUGUUGUUUGGCAUGGAUCAUUUUUGUUUUGUUUUAGUGGAAGCCACGAGCAUCAAGAAUGAGAUUUAUUAUACUUUUUCUUUUCUUUGAAUCAGUCUUGAAGUUGGCUGCUACCCUUAGAUUAGCUAUUGCAAACAAAUAAAGAUUUCAGUUUAGAUAUUUCACUCAGGGUUCAAAAGCCAACUAAACAAAGUCAUGGAAAAAGAACCUGAGAAAGGGCAUUAAGUGCAAAGAAAUCUCUUCUUUAGGAAGCUUCUGAAGUGCAAAGUAUCACAGCUUUGGAGGGUAACCUGGAUGAUAUCUACACAUAUCUGCUCUGUUUUUGUAUAUAUGUUCUUGGCCAGCUAUGGAAACAGAACACUUGGUCUUUCAUCUGAGGUAGUAUCUCUUUUUUUGUCCUCAUAUUCCUUUUUCAUGUCAUAAAAAUACAAUGGCUUUGCUGCUUCUGACACCUUUUCUCAGCAGCCAAAACUCUGAUGUGUGGAGCUGCACUGGAUCCACAUUAUAACAGAAAAUAAGACUGCCUCUCUAGCUUGUUGAUAUGGUAAUCUGUAUGCCAAAGGUUGUGUGUGAAAUGCAAAAAGAACAGGAUGCAUUGAAAUGAAAAGAGGCAGAGCAAUUGGGAGCUUCGCUCUUGUCUCCUGCUGUCUCCCAAUUGGAAACUGUCACAUUUUAUAAGUAACCAUUACAAAUUGAAAGGACAUCUCAUAAAACCUUAUGAAAAUCCCUUUAAAAGACUAAUACCAACUCACACAUUUCAUUAAAUAGCAAACAGAGCAGUGAACCUUUUGUGGUUGGUUCUAGUCCUAUGACCUCAUAGGACUUUGCUUUGCCUUUCUCCUGAUGAAAUCCCUUGCAAGAGAUGAAGAAGUUGCUUUAAUAUACCUGGUUUAAUCAAGCUGCCCAGACAGUCAAUUUUCACCUCUGUUAGGGAAUGAGAAACAUCCCUGCUUCCCUUCUCAUUGGCCUCAAGUGCCAUUCUGUCACGCAUGGCCCUCAGACCAGGUAAGUGGGAAGAAGUACAUGGUGGCAGCAGUCCAGUGGAAAGUCUAAUGAAAUGGUUCAGGCCACUGCAGCACUUACACGGGGUCAUCUGGUGACAUGUCUUGGAAAGCAUCAUACAGUAAGAGCCAGUGUUGUGCCCCUGGCCAAACAGGCACGGUCUGUGCUACUUCAGCUUGGUACAACCAAGUCACUUUGGUACAGUGAUAGCAACACAAACAGCACCUCCACAUGUAAUGCCACACAGGGUUUCAUCUGGCUAAAGAAGUACACAGCUAUGGGUUAGGAAAUAAAAGAUCUCUCCAGAGAGGGCUAAAUAAUCCUGUUUCACUGCACAUAUAGGCUCCCAUCCUUAUGUGAUGCUAUUUGAAUUAGACCUAUUUAUGUCAGUGGUACUUGAGUGGUGUAUUUGUAUGUUGGCUUGUGUUAGUUUAACUGGAAAACAUCCAGCUAAUCCAAGAAGUCUAGAUAAAGCUAUAGACUGUUGUUUCUCUUCUAAAUUUCACAGCAAUUUCAAGUCAAAAACCAGAGAGCAAAUGAAAAAAAUAUCAAAAAUUUUGAAAAAAACCUCCACUUAAUCAAAAAACCUUUAAAAAAUGAAACCUAAGCAGAUGUGUUGCUGUAAUAAGUGACUUGAGUUAGUUACAACAGGUUUGAAGAAUUCCAGAAGGACAUGAAUAAUGCUCCUCUUAUUUUACACCAGCAUUCUCCAAACAAAUUCACUGUUUUUUCUAUUUUUAUUAAGAUCUUCUAUGUUCCAUUAUAGACAUCUUCUCAGCAGAAAGCAGUACUCAGCCUCUGCUUUCAACAGCCUAGGCAGAAUUGUGUGCUAUUGUUGAUAUGCUGCUCCUGGAAAGCAGUCAGAAACAGGAGAUGUCUUGCAGGAAUGUGGAAGACAUCAUAUGUCUUGGAGCUUGGUGGGUUUCUGGCCAAAUUUACGUGGUCCAGGUUCAUAUUACUUUCAUAAAAUCUGCCCUUUGAGAGACUCCUAGCUAAGAAACCCGGAGGAGAUUGAAAAUCAAUGUAGAGCAGCAUCACCCUUGCCUGUAGGUUCUGAGUUAUGUGCGGCCCCCUAGAUGAAGGAAAAAGCUUUAGGUAUCCCUAUGAACCUAGUGAAAAUGUCUCCUCAAUGCAAAGCAGCUGUGAAAAGCUAACAACAGCAAGUAAGCUGCGUUAACAAGGGAAUAGGGAGUAAUACAGAAAAUCUGGGGGCCUGACAAGUUAAUCAGAGCUGGGCAGCAGCUUAAGAAACCUUAGAAGGAUACAAAACAGAGCAGCUCAAAUAAUUUCUACCAAGAGCUGCUGGAUAGAUUUAAGUGCUGGAGGCAGUUGGGUCAUUUCAUUUCCAAGAGGACAGCAGGUUGUAUGUGAAUGCUGGCAAGGAAAUGGAAGUUGAUUUGCAAUGCUACAGCUUGGGGUGAUGUUUUGCUCCUGUGCAUAAAGGUCAGCUCCUGUAUUGCUUAGGGAGAUUUAUGGGGCUGAAAAAGGUUUUAGGAAAAUGAAGAGAAGAGGUUAUUUUCUUAAUGAGGAGAUAAGAGAAACAAGGCAAAAUGGGAAACUUUUGGAGCCGUGUGAGAGGCAUGUGGGGACCUUUGUGGAGAUAGGCCAGUGGAAAAGUAGAUGUUUGGAGGCUGAGGAACACAUUUUGUAGCUGGUCCUCCUUCAGUAGGAAAUAACUGCAUUAGACCUUGCCUCUUGGCUUCUGGGAAAGGUGAACGUGGGAGUGCUGCAUUGGAUGCCUGGCAGAGCCUGUCAGUAGCACAUAAGCAUUUUCAGGAUUACAGAAGGCAAAGAGAGCAUAGAAGACAAGUGAAUGAGCAUGGAUGUCAUAGAGAACCAGAUUGUGAAGCAGUGUGACAAUCUCCCUCAGAGCUGGGAGCCCAUCAUAGCUAGGAUGGGAUAAUGUCAUUAUCUGAUGCUAAGUGCAAAGGAAAUGAUAGAGGUUAUUACUAUGAGCAAGGCUUCAAAACAUAAAGAUGACUUGGAGCUGCAGGGUAUGAGAGAGGAAAAGAGUUAGUAGGUGGAAGGUGGAGCAAAGGCAAAGAGAGGAGAAGCUGCGAGGAAUCAGAAUUGCAGCUAUUAAUUUUUACAUUGAGUCUCUGUUUAGAGUUCAGAGGGUGGGAUUAGUAAAAUUGCCACGUUUAAAGCAGAGGUCACUCUACUUUUCAGCUGUAGGUGAAAUUCAGCCUUACAAGUGAAGGCAGUGGAGCAACUGGAGGUGCACCUGCUUAUACUGUGGUUAAAGAUGCUCUAAUCUCUUUUAAGGCUGCUCCUCACUGAUGUGUCUCUUCACUGAUCUGAUUAUGCCAGCUCAUGAAUCACUGUGAUGUAUUUACAUUUCUAAACCAUAUUAUGCUUUGCCUGAAAUCUUUGUGUAAUUGGCAAUCAGUAUUACUCAUUGCAUACAACAUGAAAGAGAGAAACGCUUCCUCCUUUGGAAAAGCAACAUAUCCUCAGAGAUCAGAGAAUGAAGAGAUUUGGAGUUCCAACUUCAUUUUGGCCAAACUCGGUAGAGGGCUGAGGUGGCUCAAGGAUAGUGCUUGGAGGCUCUGCUCACCAACAUUUGCUCCAAGGGUGCAACCAGCUGCCCCUCUGAUCCAGUUCUUGUUCCUCUCAGUCUUGCCUCUGUCCUCAGGUCAGAAGCAUGCCAAUGGCAUCAGGAUUAGGACUGUCUCCCCAGUGGGGGGCAACUGCUCCAGAAACGAAGCAAGAACAAAGGUGAGAGGGACACAACUGCACACAGCCAGUCCAGGAGCAGAGGUUAACUCAGAGGACUCUUUCUUCCUCUCUUUUCCAAGCAGGAAUUUGAGAUUGCCAUCUUCUGUACCCUAAAAGUCUCAAAGAUGUGGAAAACUUUCGCUCUUCUCACAGCAUCUUAUUCUCUGGCCUCAAAUGUGCUGCAGCAUCUGCAAAGUCUUCCUUGCAGGAUUAGAAAUAAGAACUCUGUGCCCUUGAAAGGAAGGAAGCUUCCUCGAAGCCCACAGGAGUUUCAGUUCGGACCCUGCAGCCUCUCCCUGGUGUUGAGAUAAUGGACUUAAAAAGUUUGAACAUGAAGUUAUAAGUGUUACAUGGGCUCACUUUAGAAGUUUUGGGGGCUGCUUGUGAUGGCACAGUUGGACUGAUGGUAACUGAAGCACAGACUUUGCGGGUGAAGGAAUGUGAAAAACAUCAUUCAUAAAAUGAGACCAUUUUACAGUGCUGUUUUUUUCUCUUACUCCCCUCAAGGAUCAGAUUCUGGUUUAAGGGAAGCCUAUGGUAAAAUCAUAGCAUUAUAGAACCAUAGAAUGGCUUUGGUUGGAAGACACCUUAAAGAUCAUCCAGUCCCAACCCUCUGCUGUGGGCUGGUUGCCCCCCACCAGCUCAACCUGCCCAUGGCCACGUCCAGGGCCUUGGGCACCUCCAGGGAUGGGGCACCCAUAGCUCCCUGGGCAAAAAUAGAGCUUCUCAGACAAGUACUCCAAAAUGAGGCAAUACCUAUCUGAUGGCCUCUUCUGCCCCAGUGUCUAUUUACUGUGACAGUUUUUGGUUACAUUCCAAGUAAUAUUUUGUAUGUGAGCGCAUACAUGCCUCAUGCCCACUUGCUUGCAUCAUCUGUCUUUAGCCUGUUACAAUUUUUUGGGGCGUGUGUUAGUGAAAUCAAAAGGUAUGAAGAAAUAAAGCAAGAUGUAUAAGAAGCCUCAUGCUACAAGUAAGUUCAGUAAUGCUUAAAUCUGAUACAGGGAUUUUCCAUGAAACUACAGAAGAUUCUCAAACCUGUUUUCUUGCACUGUUUUAUUCUCUGGCUAUUUCCACAAACCUGUGAGAAACAGGCAUUUGGAGUACUUUAAAUGUUUCUCCAGCUCAAACAAUUCUAUGAAUUCAGUGGGCGCUGGACUCAUAAUCUUCUAACAAAGUGGGACUCCUUUGCUCUUGGAUAUCUCAAGUUGGACACUCACAAUUACCAGAUGAUUCUGACCUUAAUCUCACUGUGCCCCAGUUUCCUGUCUGAUCCCUUUAUGACAAGGAAAAAGGCAGAAGUUCACUGAUGCCUACCAAGCACCAGGAGAUUAGUGAAGAGCACCAUGAAGAAAUUAAUUCCUCCAUACUUGAGUGGAGUUUGGCUGGGGUCCCGGCAGUAUGGCACAGGGCCAUGUUGAAUGAGAAGUGUGAAGGAGAAAUACUGAGCAUUGCAUUCACUGAGAACCAUCCGGAGUGCAUCCUAGAUGUACAGCACACAGGAAGCCUGGAUUCUUCCUGAUUCCUGGGUGCUUGCCUCAGCUAUCCACAUCUGUCUGAAUGCUGUAUCUUCAUGCAAGUUCUGCAUCCCUUUGCUUUUGCACUGCCAAAGAUAGUAAGGGAUGGGAGCUCCAUAACCUCUAGGUCAGGUUGUCAAGACUUACCUGUGCAACACAGCAGAGAAUGAAGAAUUCUCACUGGUGCCAAGUCAGAUACCAGCAAGUACUUUGGCUCUGAAUUUUUGUCAAUAUUUUCCAUCAGUUUUUAUUUUUAUACCAAAGUAACAACUUCUGUCAAGGUUGUAUUGAUUUCCUGUCUGUCAAACCAAUUCAAAUUUUGAAAAGGGAACAAAACAAAAGAUGGAGAAAAAGGAAAGAAAUUAUAAUGUAAUCCCUCUGCCCACCUCUUUUUCCCCUCACAAUUAUUCUUUCUUGCUAUUACUAGCUGUUAACUUGGCUAUCAUCAGCUGUUAAAUACUCUACAUGCAGAGGUAUUUCCUCCUUUGUGUAGUCUGCAGUCCCAAAAAACAAUGAAGGAAUCCAGACACAUCUUCUGGCCGCAUCUACCAUAA